AGUCUUAAAAAGCUCAUGUAAAAUAUGCAAGAGCAAAAGAAUGAUUGGGUGUCCAUAUAACUAAACAUAGUUACAUUUGGCCAAUAAUCGUUCGGACA
rnacentral:snoRNA from 1 species